GCCACAAAUGCCCAGGUAUAAAGUAGCUAAGUGACUUACCUCUCCCUGCUUCACUCUUCCUCUUAUCCACACCAGCACUAUACCUUUGCCAUCAGUUCUUGUUUUCACUCCUGCUGCGACAAUGAAAAUCUUGGCUCUGUAUCUGAUGGUGGUGUUGAUAGCGGUCUCUGCAUUUGCCGCCCCUUCGCCCUCCCCCAGUCCUUCUUUUGGUUACGGAUAUGGAGGAUAUAGAGGCGGAUUCGGACGCGGCUUCGGCCAUAGAUUUGGACACGGGUUCGGACAUAGUCGAGGUUUUGGCCGCGGUUUCGGAUUUGGUAGCUUCGGUGGCUACGGAUACGGACGCGGCUAUGGAUACAGAGGAUACUGGUGAGUGACUUCAUCCCUUCGUCAGUAUACAGACCAGUGUGUUUCUCGCCUUCUUGAGAGAAGUAUACCUGCAGUGAUCGGCGAGCAAAUCAUAUUGAUUUUUGCAUUUGCAGUAAGGGCUUCCGUAGCUUGCAGUUAUUAUUUCAUCACUGGAAUGACAAUGUAUUCAGUCCACUUUCUCUUUUUCUUGGCACUUCUUAUAUUGUAACCUACUAAGUUAAGCGUUAGCGAAACUUUGAACCCAGUAAACGUAAACACCUGUUUCACCUUCCAGUCUCAUUAUUAAAAGAAUGUUAAGUAUAAACAAUUAUAAACUGACAUAGAAA